rnacentral:rRNA from 1 species
AUUGAACGCUGGCGGCGUGCCUAACACAUGCAAGUCGAGCGGUAACGCGGGAGCAAUCCUGGCGACGAGCGGCGAACGGGUGAGUAAUGCUUCGGAAUCUGCCCUUUGGUGGGGAAUGAACUAGCCGAAAGGUUAGCUAAUACCGCAUACGACCUACGGGUGAAAGCAGGGGAUCGCAAGACCUUGCGCCGAUGGAUAAGCCGAAGUCGGAUUAGCUAGUUGGUAGGGUAACGGCCUACCAAGGCGACAAUCCGUAGCUGGUCUGAGAGGACGACCAGCCACACUGGGACUGAGACACGGCCCAGACUCCUACGGGAGGCAGCAGUGGGGAAUAUUGGACAAUGGGGCAAGCCCUGAUCCAGCGACGCCGCGUGUGUGAAGAAGGCCUGCGGGUUC